rnacentral:rRNA from 1 species
UACGGAGGGUGCAAGCGUUAUCCGGAUUCACUGGGUUUAAAGGGUGCGUAGGCGGACAGGUAAGUCAGUGGUGAAAUCUCUGGGCUUAAACUCAGAAACUGCCGUUGAUACUAUUUGUCUUGAAUGUCAUGGAGGUAAGCGGAAUAUGUCAUGUAGCGGUGAAAUGCUUAGAUAUGACAUAGAACACCGAUAGCGAAGGCAGCUUACUACAUGAAGAUUGACGCUGAGGCACGAAAGCGUGGGGAGCAAACAGG